GGGGAUGGAGAAGGAGGAUCUCGGGAUCUUGGGAAAGAGGAUGGAGCUCAGGUUAGGGGCAGUAGGGCUGCAGAAUCGAUGGGAAUGGCCUGGGUCUACUAGUACAGUCUACAGAGUACAGAAAAUUUAGGGAUUCGGCCGCGGGGAGGGAGGGGUCAAGGACCGGGGAGAGGAAUAGGAUUUUAGGUAUGUUUUUUCUUUUUUUUUUGC
rnacentral:lncRNA from 1 species